UUAACUCGAAUUUGUAUGGAGUUAAAACGUUUGCCUACGUUUGCCGCUAAGAGCGCUGUUCGAACUGCAUACAAAUUUAAGUUA
rfam:Bombyx mori DNA, contig: Bm_scaf32_contig19809, strain: p50T/Dazao, build 2, whole genome shotgun sequence.